rnacentral:rRNA from 1 species
AGUGAACGCUGGCGGUAGGCCUAACACAUGCAAGUCGAACGGCAGCACAGUAAGAGCUUGCUCUUACGGGUGGCGAGUGGCGGACGGGUGAGGAAUACAUCGGAAUCUACUUUUUCGUGGGGGAUAACGUAGGGAAACUUACGCUAAUACCGCAUACGACCUACGGGUGAAAGCAGGGGAUCUUCGGACCUUGCGCGAUUGAAUGAGCCGAUGUCGGAUUAGCUAGUUGGCGGGGUAAAGGCCCACCAAGGCGACGAUCCGUAGCUGGUCUGAGAGGAUGAUCAGCCACACUGGAACUGAGACACGGUCCAGACUCCUACGGGAGGCAGCAGUGGGGAAUAUUGGACAAUGGGCGCAAGCCUGAUCCAGCCAUACCGCGUGGGUGAAGAAGGCCUUCGGUUUGUAAAGCCCUUUUGUUGGGAAAGAAAAGCAGCAGGUUAAUACCCCGCUGUUUUGACGGUACCCAAAGAAUAAGCACCGGCUAACUUCGUG